GCCCUGAUUCCCCAUAUCACGAUCUCUCGGUGGGGCCGUGGAAAUCAUCUGGACAAGCGAAUUGCCCCCAGCCAGCUGGGCAGACUGUGACUCCCUGGGCCUCAAUUUUCCCAUCUGUGAAAGGGGUGACUCCUCCCCCAAAGAGCUGCUGUGGGUGAUCAAGGGAGGGAAAUGCUGGGUACGUGUGCUAAAAACAGCCAAGAGGUAUCAAGCAGAAGGUCCCACUGAGGAAGACGCUCUACUUUGGGUAGCCUGACCAGCCCUUCCACUUCCGGAGCCCUUGGGGCUAGAAAGGGACUCUAAGGCCAGCAUGCACUGCCGUGGCGGCUGUAGCUGUGACUCUUCUAGCCGCUUCCACCUGGGUUGUAGCAGACUCAGGAGUGGCUCACACGUCAUGGAGACAGCUGGGCCCAGGGCACAUUCCUACCCAUUGUGUCUUCUGUGCAAUAUCUUUCAGGCAACAACAGCACAUGGCCAACCAGUUCAGCCUGUGGGAGGGUGGACAUCACGUCCGCAUCCCACAUCUCCACGCUAGGGAGUGACACCAGCUGACAAACAGGUGGUUCUCCCCAGGGGUCCGCACCCUUGGUCAAGUCCACGUGCCCUCUCUCCUCCGGGCUGUUACCAACAGCAUGCUCAGGCAGUUGUAACACCACCACCCUGUGGCAGGGUCAGAGGCCCAAGCGGUGGCCUGUAUCAAGGUUCAAGCACAGAAAUACCUGUGCCAACUAAAUACUCAUCACAGCCACGCGUACUGGUCGCUUACCACGGUGGGUGCCGUGCUGAGCCACGUAGCCGAGUUAUCUCUUUGAAGUUCUACUGUCCCCCAGGAGGAGGGUACCGUCACCAUCCCCGCUGAUGAUGUGGGUAAAGUGCUAGCAAACCAACUCUGCAAGUAGUAGGGCUGCGGUUCAACUCCAGGGAGACUGCUCAUUCACUGUUCAACACGUUUUUCAGUGUGCCCGUCACUGUCCUAGGCCCCGGGGACCCAACCGUGACAAAGGCGGAGCAAGGCACUGAUAGCCUGGUGGGAGACUCAGAGGUCAAGCUCUCAACCCUGGUCUCCACUGUCUCCCAAAGGCCACUGGCUCUUUCCAAAGGGAGACCUCCCUGACUGGCUCCCUGGGGUCCACUGUUGGCAUGAGGCCUGUAGGAGGUGGACUGGGUUAGAUGACACUGGUCUGCAGGAAGCAGGUCCUGCCAGCUGACCCACCCACACGUGGCACCUGGGCAGGCUGCGCCAGUGUUCUGAAAGAUUAAAAGCCAUUUCUGAGUCACUAUUCCUUCCUUGUGGGGUGGUCUCAAGAGAAUCUUCAAUCAUUAGGCUCAAAGUGGAGGCAUGAGAAAUGCAAUACUGCCCCCUCCCCUCGACGAGAACAAUACACCCGAUUCUGAUUCUCUGCCAGUUUCCUUUUGGCCAGUGAAGCCUGGGAGCCCCAUGCUUCUAGAGGCACUGGAAAUCCAGAUUUUUAUGGGAAAUCUCCGAAUUGGAAAUGCUGGCAUUUAACUUUAAAUUUAUUUUUAGAUGUGAGGACCAAAUCAUCACAUCUGUGAUUGGGCAGAAUGUGACCCCCAAUGCCGCCAGUUUAAACUCUCUGUUUUAGAUCAAGUAGGACAGGAAGUUUCAUAAAUGGGGGAAGGAAGUAGAGGCGUCGUGUCACUGAAUUAGGACCUACGGUGAGCCAGUAGCUGUGGGAGGUGCUCUCGACUCCAAGAAGUAAUCCUGUGAGGUCAGGGUUUAUGUCCCCAUGAGGUAGGCUCAGAGAGGUGAAGUGAGCUGCCCAAGGACACACAGUGAGGGGGGGCAGAAGCACCAGGAUUGGGACCCAGAUGUGCCAGGCUUCAAAGCCCGGCUAUCCCAGGUCUGCCUGGGACCUCACAACAAUGGCUGUAGAACAAGCUAAGUCCCGGGCAGCUGACUCUUCAUGUUCCAGGUUAACUCAGCUCUGACAAACCACCUGGCUUUGAGAGCGCCCCAGUUUCGAAGCUCGGCCAACCAAAGCCGAGUCGGGGAAAACUGGGCAGGACAGAGAGUGGAACCGGCCCUGCCACCUGGCCUGCAGGGUGAAUCUGGGCGGGGCUCCCAGCUCCAAAGGGCAGGGGCUGGCUCCACCCAUCUCCAUGCCCUCCCAGCUCCCGUGUUUACAGAGUCUGAUCGGCCCGGAACCUGAACACAUACCAGCCUUCUCAUCUGUAAAAUGGGUGAGGUGACUGAAACCCAGAGGGCAUCUUGCCCAAAGUCACACAUUUGGGAAGUGGUGAAGCCGAGACUUGAACCCAGGACUGCUGGAGAUGCACAAAGCCGUUACUUUGCCACAGUGCGACGCAGCCUCUGCUGAGCACAUCACCCGGGAACUACUGUGCCCUGACUAUGUGCCAGUCCCUGGGCUGGGUCCUGCAGGAGACGGCACAAGUGACACUGCCACGGCCUGGAGCCCGGCAAGCCAGGCGGGAAGGGAGCAAGGGAGCCGCAUGGCACAGAGCCGGAUGGAGACAGGAGAGCGCAGUCAGGGAGGGCUUCGGGAAAACCUCAGCGCAUCACCACUCCCCAAGAACAGGGAGGGCUCACAGAGGUGGAUAAGGCUUAAGGCUGGCCCAGGAGGGUGGGUGCGAUCUCAGCCUGCAGAGACGAGUAGAGAUGCGUCUCAUCCGAGCCAACAGCCACCUCCUGGAUCCACGGGAAUUAGCCGGGGCCAGGCCUACCACCCUGUCUAGGAAGGGGACUAAAAGGCCGUGGGAUGAGUCUUUAACACGCUUCCCUGGAUGGUGCGGGUCACGGCUGCCAGUUCUCCGGUUCCCCCCCGCCUUUCCCUCGCUUGACAGCAGUGGAUCAGUUGUCUGUUGCAGACUCCCUGACCCAUCCCUAACCCCUUUCUGACCUCGGGGCCACCGGACGGGCCUUUUCGCGUUUCCGGCCCAACCCCAGAGUCAGGGCAGGGGGCGGUGGGGG